UCCUUCAAGAUUAUAAUGACAAUUCAGGAGU
rnacentral:piRNA from 1 species